rnacentral:rRNA from 1 species
UACGUAGGGAGCAAGCGUUGUCCGGAUUUAUUGGGCGUAAAGAGCGUGUAGGCGGCCAGGUAGGUCCGUUGUGAAAACUCGAGGCUCAACCUCGAGACGCCGAUGGAAACCAUCUGGCUAGAGUCCGGAAGAGGAGAGUGGAAUUCCUGGUGUAGCGGUGAAAUGCGCAGAUAUCAGGAAGAACACCCGUGGCUAAGGCGGCUCUCUAGUACGGUACUGACGCUGAGACGCGAAAGCGUGGGGAGCGAACAGG